rnacentral:lncRNA from 1 species
AAAGAGGGACGCGUGCCCCCCACCUCCGGUCCCGGUGCCGGUGCCGGCCCCGCCGAGCGCUGCCUCCCGCCGCCGCCCGGGCUUUGCGCAGCCGCGCCCGGUGCGCGGGCACCGCCCCUCGGGCGUCGGGACCCCCGGGGACCCCCCCCCGGUGAUUGGGGUCGGUGAAACGGAGGGGUGCGACCCCCGCUUCCCCUUCCCCUUCCCCUCGUCCCCGUUCCCCGGUAGCUCCCCGGCCCCGUUCCCGGCUGCGAACGCGGCGCCGGGCGGAGCGAGGGGAACGGGCGGCUCCGGAGAGCGCAGCGGGACCCCAAAAACGGGACCCCAAAAAGGGACCCCAAAGGGGGGAUUUUCGACCGGGAUCCCAAAAAGGGUCCUCACGCCGGGAUUCGCUCCCGGGAUCCCAAAGCGCGAUCCCAAAGUGGGAUCCCCACCGGGAUUCUCCCCCCCGGGAUCCGGCACCAGGACCCAAAUCCAGGACCCCCAGCAGGAUCCCAAACUGGGAUCCCCACUGGGAUCUUCCUCCGGGAUCCCAAAGCGCGACCCCAAACUGGGAUCCCCACCGGGAUUCUCCCCCCCGGGAUCCGGCACCAGGACCCAAAUCCAGGACCCCCAGCAGGAUCCCAAACCGGGAUCCCCACCGGGAUCCUUCCCCCGGGACCCAAAAUCCCAGGAGGACCGGGAUGCUGCACUGGGACCCUGCACCAGCACCCCAAACUGGGAGCCCCACUGGGAUCUGCUCCUGGGACCAACACCAGGACCCCACAACGGGAUCCUGCACCAGCGCCCCAAACCAGGACCCCAAACUGGGAGUCCCUCCUGGGACCCCAGACUGGGAUUCUCUCCCAGAACCCCAAACCAGGACCCCAAAGCGGAAUCCCCAAACUGGGAUUCUCUCCUGAAACCCCAAACUGGGAUCCCAAACCGGGAUCCCGAACUGGGAUUCUCUUCCAGAACCCUGAACCAGGACCCCAAACCAGGAUCCCAAACUGGGAUUCUCUCCUGGAACCCCAAAAUGGAACCCUAAACUGGGGUUCUCUCCUGAAACCCCAAGCCAGGAUCCCAAACUGGGAUCCCAAACCGGGAUCCCAAACUGGGAUUUUAUCCUGAAACUCCAAACUGGGAUCCCAAACUGGAAUCCCAAACUGGGACCCCAAACCAGGACCCCAAACUGGGGUUCUCUCCCGGGAUACCACACCAGGCCCCCCCACUUCCCUCUCCCAGGACCCCAAAGUGGGAUCCAGACCCCCCCCAGUGCCCCCAUACUGCUGUGGGGCUGAGCUGCACGAGCCCGGCCCCAUACUGGGAGCACCCCAAUACCGCGCACGGGGCUCUGAACCAGGCCCCCCCACUUCCCUCUCCCAGGACCCCAAAGUGGGAUCCAGACCCCCCCCAGUGCCCCCAUACUGCUGUGGGGCUGAGCUGCACGAGCCCGGCCCCAUACUGGGAGCACCCCAAUACCGGGCACGGGGCUCUGAGGGGGGGG